AGUGGCGGACGGGUGAGUAACGCGUGAGAAUCUGCCUUGGGGUCGGGGACAACCACUGGAAACGGUGGCUAAUACCGGAUACGCCUUCGGGUAAAAGAUUUAUUGCCCUAAGAGGAGCUCGCGUCUGAUUAGCUAGUUGGUGAGGUAAGAGCUCACCAAGGCAGCGAUCAGUAGCUGGUCUGAGAGGACUAUCAGCCACACUGGGACUGAGACACGGCCCAGACUCCUACGGGAGGCAGCAGUGGGGAAUUUUCCGCAAUGGGCGAAAGCCUGACGGAGCAAGACCGCGUGAGGGAGGAAGGCUCUUGGGUUGUAAACCUCUUUUCUCAGGGAAGAAGCUCUGACGGUACCUGAGGAAUCAGCCUCGGCUAACUCCGUGCCAGCAGCCGCGGUAAUACGGAGGAGGCAAGCGUUAUCCGGAAUUAUUGGGCGUAAAGCGUCCGCAGGUGGCGAUUCAAGUCUGCUGUCAAAGCACGGGGCUUAACUCCGUAAAGGCAGUGGAAACUGAAUAGCUAGAGUGCCGUAGGGGUAGAGGGAAUUCCCGGUGUAGCGGUGAAAUGCGUAGAGAUCGGGAAGAACAUCGGUGGCGAAAGCGCUCUACUGGACGGCAACUGACACUCAGGGACGAAAGCUAGGGGAGCGAAUGGGAUUAGAUACCCC
rnacentral:rRNA from 1 species